GGCUUGUGAUGUGGUUCGUGAUGCUUGGUGUUUAGUUUUCUAUGUUCUGGUUUGAAUAAUUUUCUUUCUAUUUUUUUGUCGUAUUUGAAUUUUGUGCAAUGAUGUUUUCAGUUUUUCUUCGGUUUGUGAGUCUGAAUAUUAAUUUGCUUUCUUCCGCCUUUCUAUACGUAAUGAUUUAAUACAAAGUAGAUUGAACAAUAUUAGUUUACACUAAUCUAAG
rnacentral:lncRNA from 1 species